GGGGCGGCGCAGCCCCGCGCGGUUGUGGGAUCGCUCCCGGGGGCCGCUCCUCUCUCGGGCACUGGGGUCGCGGGAGACGUCGUCGGGAGCUCGGUUUCUGGAGGCCCUUCCCCACCCGGCCUCUGCCUCCUCCACUCCCCCGGGCUGGACGGAACGGGGCCCAGCGCGGGAUGCGAGGUGCGUCCCCGGGGCCCGCAGCGGGCGGGAGCGCAGCCAGGGCCCGGUCGGGGACGCAGGCCCAGGGCGCUGAGGCUGCACCUGCCUCUCCGAAACCGGGCUGGCUCUUUUUGUCUUUUUAUUUUUCUAAUUUAUUUUUUUAGAGGUAUGAUUUCGCUCUGUCGCCCAGGCUGGAGGGCAGUGGCGCAAUCUCGGCUCACUGCAGCCUCGAACUCCUAGGCUGAAGCGAUUCUCCCGCCUCAGCCUCCAAAGUAGCCGGUACUACAGGCGCGCGCCACCACGCCUGGCUAAGGUGUGUGUGUGUGUGUGUGUGUGUGUGUCUCCAAAGUAGCGAGGACUACGGGUGUGUGUGUGUGUGUGUGUCUCCAAAGUAGCGAGGACUACAGGCUCCCGCCACUACGCCAGGCUAAGGUAGGGUGUGUAUGUGUGUUAACUUUUUGUAGAGAUGGGAUCUCCCUUUGUAACACGGGCGCCCGCCACUAAGCCAGGCUAAGGUGGUGAAUGUGUGUGUGUGUGUGUGUUAACUUUUUGUAGAGAUGGGAUCUCGCUUCGUAACCCGGGCUGGUAUCGAACUCCUGUCUUCAAGGAAUCCUCCCGUCUGGACUCCUCCCAUGGGAUUACGGGCAUGAGCCACGGCACCUGGCUAUUUUUUUUUUCUAAGCAUUUAAAUAAGCUGGGGCUUGAUUUGGGAGUUUUCUAUUGUAUUUUGAGCUUUGCCGAGGACUUGAUAGUGACCUUGCUUUAAGCUGUGAAAUAAAUCUUGGGGUCCCAGAGCUAUUUUAAUAUUGAAUUCGCUGUGGAGUUGUUUUGAGUUCCUUGGAGGUUAACAUGAGAUAGAAAACUAAGUUAACACAACUCAUCGACUGCCCUUGCUUUGCUUUGCUUUGCUUUUAGAAUGCCAUCGGGUUUUGUCAUGUUGGGAACAAGUUAACUUAGGCCAGUUGACUAAGAUCAAGGUAUGUGAACAUGCCUGGCUGGGAGAGAAGUAGAGUAAAUGUUGGUUCGCAUUCCCUCCCGACGCCCACAAUGCCAGCCAUCCCUGACUUUUCUUGCCUUUAUUGGGAAGAAUAUAAGGUGGCAGAAACAAACUUCCCACCCUUUUUCCAAAUAUUUACUGAAGGAGUCUUGAGGAGAGUCUUGUGGGGUGGGGGGGUGGGGGUGGGAGCUGGGAAUGUUUUUGAACUAGUUCUUGAAAAAAAAACUAGUACAAUAGUACAACUGUCUUAAUUUUAUAUAUGAGGAAACUGAGGCCCAGAGAUGAAAUCAUGCCUUGAUUUAUGCAGACCUCAGUACCUGUUCGUGACAAAUCCAGUUACUAAAAGGUAAGAGAAGGAAUAAGGGACUUGAUAUUUAUCUAGCAUCAGCAAUGUGUGGACAUCGUGUGAACGGCUUUAUAAACAUUUCAUUUAAUUCUCUACAUCUAGCCAUUUUUUAACCUGUGCUUUCCCUCCCUCUCAAAGUACUGUUUAUACAUUUAUUAGUCCAUAUUUUAAACGCUCCAUGCUCUCAACUGUAUUAAUGCUAUUUGUUAGGAUAAGUGGCAGAUGUCCAUGGAAAAUAAGUGGCUGCAAAGUGGUAAUGCUGACCAGAUGAGAAAAGAAGUGUAAAAGGGAAGUUCUAAAGAAUUAAAGCCCUGGAGAGGGUGGGUAGACAACAACAGUCCAAAAUAGUGCUCUUCAUUGAGGCUGUGUAGAUUUUCCUGCUUCCUGGGAAAACUGGGGCAUAUUUACACUUGCAUGUGUGUAUUCAGAUUGUCUGGGGCUAUGGAGUUUGGGUCAGAUUGCUGAACCCGUGGGAGAGAAGUUCCCUUGUUGUCUGUUGUUGUCUGUUCUGAUUGCUGCUUUGUAAUUUGGGCCACAUAUGAAAGUCAGCAUCCAGUCAUUGGACCAUAGGUGUGUGGCAUAUCUACUCAGAUGCAUUAAGCUAUUUUUAUUUCAUUAUAAAAUGUAUAACAUUUACAUUCAAAUUAUGGUUUGAAGGGCUUAAGAGGAGAAAGAGACAGUGGCACUAAGGUGACAGCAUGGCUGGCUGCAUGCUUCCUGUCCAAGAAGGUCACUGGGCAGUGUUAACUGGGAAGAGCAUCUGGAGGAUGAGAGAUCAGUGUAGCCACAUACCCUUAACAAAGGGUGGUACAGCCUCUGGUCUGCCAGGAUUUUUGUGCCCCGCCCCCCUCCCCCUCUUUCCCUAUCUCCUCUUUGACAUUUCCACCAUAUUCCCCUUAGGUAUGUACCUGUUUGGACUUUAAUUUAGAGUGUAACUUUUGGUCAAGAAUCCUGGAGAGAAAAGACGGGUACUAAAGCCUCGCUAGUGAUUUACCUGGGUGCCGACCCCCACAACUCAUCCACCCUACAUGCAUACUUCAAACUCCUCCAGGCAGAUACUCCCUGCCUGACACACAGUGACACUUUGGGAAAAAUUGCAGAACAGUAACCAACUCUGAGCAGAUAAAUGUGAUGUCAAAAUGAUAGUAAUGAGAGAUGUCGUUCGUUGAAAGCCUGCUAGCUGCCAUGCACUAUACUAUUUCUUACAUCUAAAUCUGAUUAAGUUAUACCCCAUUUUAUAAAUAGACACUUUGAUAAGUAAACCUAUCUAAGAUCAAAAUACUGAGAAAUGUCCUAAUUGGGGAUUUGAACCUGGUUCUAAUUCCAAAGUCCAAGCUACAUCCACCCCAACCUCCUACCUCCUAUCUCCAAGACUUUGUGAGUAAAAAAACAAGUGUCACUUCUCUCCUUCUCUUUUUUCUGUCCUAAAGGAAGCUGGGAGCUAACCACUUAGGACUAGUACUAAUCUUUCAGAGAAAGGGAUGAGGGGAGCCUUGUUAUUUCUGUGGGGUUCAGCUCUCAGACCAGAGUAAGACAGGCAACAAGGUUGAGGAGUAGCCAUAUGCAGAAAUAACCUGUGUAUCUAGCCACAGGAUCUCCAACACUGUGUCACUCGGGAAUCAAAAUACAGAGACAGUUCCUCAAUAGAGUGUGGAUCUAGCCCAGAAUGUGGACAAGGGGAGUGGAGAAGGGGAGAGGUACACACUGAGCAUUGUAACAAGGCCUGUCCUCAAGCUUGAGGAGGAUUAGGAAGAUGGCUUGAGUCUGGGAGUAGGAGGCUGCAGUGAGCUAUGAUUGUACCACUGUACCCCAGCCUAGGUGACAGAGUGAGACCCUGUCUCUUAAAAGAAAAAAAAAAUUGACCUGGAUCUACUCAUACCCACCCUGGUCUUUGAGCAGAAAGAAUCAUUUGGGAAUUAUUUUGUCUCAUCUUUCUCCAUGAUCACUGUUGAAGAAUUUGGUCACUGUAACCAGGUAAAUAUAAAACUCAGGUGGGCCGGGCGCGGUGGUUCACACCUGUAAUCCCAGCAGUUUGGGAGGCUGAGGUGAGUGGAUCACGAGGUCAGGAGAUCAAGACCAUCCUGGCUAACACAGUGAAACCCUGUCUCUAUUAAAAAUACAAAAAAUUAGCCAGGCGUGGUGGUGGGCGCCUAUAGCUCCAGCUGCUCGGGAGGCUGAGGCAGGAGAAUGGUGUGAACCCGGGAGGUGGAGGUUGCAGUGAGCCGAGAUCGUGCCACUGCACUCCAGCCUGGGUGACAGAGCAAGACUCCGUCUCAAAAAAAACUCAGAUGAACUAUAGCUAAGUCAGUGCUCUUGACACUUUUUUAGCAAUAGUAGCUUUGUUUCUCACAGAAAAAACAAAAUUUUCUGUGGAACCACACUAUUUAAAACAUAAGCAAUAUUAGUAUCAACUUGUAUAAUUUAUAGAUCUACUGAUAAAAACAAUCAAGAAUAGUCUACCUUAAUUGAAUCAGGAGGAGAUAACUGCAGUCUUACAUCAGCCAUACUCGUAUCCAUGAAAUAUGAGUCAGUCAUUUGCACAACUCCCUGAGUCACCUUCUGGAACACAGAAAACACUGAGCCAAGUUAGCCCAGGACCUGAACCUUUUGUGGAAAGGAAAAUCUGUAGUGUCUCCUCAGAGUAUGGCUGCCCUUUCACCUGGUAGUCAGUUUCUCAUGACGGUUACUCGAGCAUUUAUAAGGCAGUUGUGAAAUAACCAAGACAUUCUGUGUGUUGUGCUACUGAUGCUCCUCCUGUCACCGACCUCCUCUCCAAAUGAGGCCUGCCUUUUGUCCUUGGUAGUAGGCAGUCCACAGUGUAACCAGCUACAGGGGAAGUAUUUACUUUGAUAGCCACUUGACCUUGAUCAAGUCAGGUGACUCAUUUCUGGAUAACAUUUUUGAGAGUAUACUGAGCCAGGCACCUUGAGGAUACGAAAGUGGAUUAUAGUUUCCAUUCUGGAGAAACUCACAGUCCAGUAAGUUAAACAAUCACAAGAACAAGUUUCCAGCAAUGAGAGUGAUUACAGCCACUGAGUGGUGAAAUCUGAGAAAUGCAAAGCCUGCCGCCUAUAAAUACCUACAUUUAUCGCCUGGGCAUAUACCUAAAAUUCCACCAUGAGAAAUAUAUUUAUAUGAAAUUAGAAACUACCCAGAAAUUGUGCGUCCAAAUAAAAAUUCCCACAAGAAAUAAGGAUGGCUAAUAGUUUUAAGUAGUAGUGUCAAGUCUUUUGGACCAGAGUAACUGCCAGGGACGUUGUGUUGAGGAUUCUGAGGUCAUGUUCCAGCUUAGCCGAGAAGGGAGCCACCAUGAGGGAACGAGUGAGGGAGGGUAGCACUUGUGCCCCAUAUUUUUUCCUAAGUAAAUCAUUUGUUGAUGGAAUGCAUGAUGAAACAGGGACAGCCAGGGUCUCUGGCAUCUGGGAGAAAGCCCACUUGGAAACUGAUUUAUCUACCUCACCACUGCAAGUUCACCAUUUGUCCCCAGACUAAAUGGCCUUAGGAAGCCCAGGCUCUGUCUUGUCGAACUCUACCUUCUUUAUCCUUCCAUACUUUUCAAGAAGAGAAAUGGUAUAUAUAUGUGGGAUCCUUGAGAACUAGGAUGUACCUGUGAGCAGGCAAAGUGUAGCAUCUAGCAGGGUCAGGCAUAAGUUGGAAGUGAGAGAGGUGGCUACUGUGCUCCCCAAUGGCUGUUCUCCCAUCUCCCAUAGUUUCAAGGCCUGUUUUGUGAGGAACAGCAGUAUGCCCAGCUCAAAGAUGACAGCUGGCCACAGGACUAAGUCUGGCCAAUAAGAUGUGAGUGGACGCUUCCAGAAAAGCUCUCUAAAGAGGCUACCUCUAGCCAGGCGCAGUGGCUCACGCCUGUAAUCCUAGCACUUUGGGAGGCCAAGGCAGUGGAUCACCUGAGGUCGAGAGUUCAAGACCAGCCUGGCCAACAUGGCAAAACCCCGUCUCUACUAAACAUACAAAAAUUAGCCGGGCAUGGCCGUGCCGCAUGCCUGUAAUCCCAGCUACUCAGGAGGCUGAGGAGGGAGAACUGCUUGAACCCAGGAGGUGGAGGUUUGCAGUGAGCUGAGAUGUUGCCACUGCACUCCAGCCUGCACGACAGGAGCGAGCCUCCAUCUCAAAAAAAAAAAAAAAAUAAAAGCUGCCUCUUCUCUGCUUCUUGGAGUAUGGUCAGGAUAGCUGGAAUUCUAGCAUCCAGUUUUGAAUGCCAAGUGACCUUGAAGAUAGAAGCCAUGAACUAAGAUAAUGUCCCUGUGUAAGCUUCUUUUACAUGAGAGAAAUAAACUGUGUGUAUAAAUCAUUGUUAUUUUGAAUUCCCAAGUUGUAUGCAGGCAAAUGUAAUCCCGAUCUAGCCAGGAAUUGGUAUUAUUCAUUGAUAAGAGCUUCAUAUAUUCAUGUUGACAGUUUUCCUUGAUUGGCCCCCAGAUGAUAGGUAUUGUGACCAAGACCUGUGGGGCUAUCAUGUGUACUUGGCUCCCUAUAGGAGAAUCCAGGAUGGAAUGGAAUGAUACAGUAGGCAGCCUCUGGAGCCAAGAUACGGUAUAGGUAGGAAAAAGAAAUGAUUCACCCAAGAGGCAGAUUAGGCCCAUGAAAAUUAGGAUUGUCAGAUGCAUUACUUUAAUACAGCACUUCUUCAGUAUUCCCAGAACUGUAGCUAAUGGUUCCUCUGAAUAGGAAGCUCCUUGAAUAUACCCUGGCAAGAAAUCUUUCUAUCCAAGGUGACUGGCAUUGGGAGGGGAUUUAUUGAGUGUCUCCCUCGAGCCAGGCACUUUCACAUACCUUAAUCUUAGUUAACUGGCUUCACUUCAGACCCUGUCCCUAACAGGACAAAACCCAACAGCAUUUUGAAAGCAAAACAGGGAUAGUUGAUGAGUUGUAUUAACGUACUUGUCUCUGUCUCACGUUAGUAACCUCCAAGGAACUCAAAACGCACUGCAGCUAUAAUUCGACAUUAAAAUAGCCCUGGGCCCCCCAGGAGCAGCUCAAUAGACCCUACUGAAGCAGGCGGUCCUGUCCCUCCCCUGCUUAAAAUCUGUCAGUAGCUUCUCAUUGUUUUUAACUAAAAACCCAGCCCACCUGACAGUCAGGUUGGCCUGCUCGCCAGGCUUUCUCCCCAGCUGCUCAAACCUGCUCACAACUCCCUCUGUGUCUGCCACUCUGGCCUCUCACUUUACUCCUGUGACCUCGUCCCUCUGAGCACCAUUCCUCCCCACCUCUGCAUGUCUUUAAUCUGACUUAAGCUUCAAGGCCUGGCACAAACAAUGCUUUUCCUUUGUCCUUCAUACUGGAGAUCAUAAACUCGCAUAGAUUCUCUCUGAAUAAAUAAAUAUUUUCCAUGCCAGUUAGCAUUUUUUUAAAACUAUAAUGACUGCAAAAUAUAUUGUAUUAGGUGUACUCUAACUUAUUUAACCUCUCCCCAAAGAAUGGACAUUUCAUUUGUUUCUUUUUCAGGAUGAUAAAAAACAGUUACGGGAUGAAAAAAUUUUUUUUUAUUUUUUAUUUUUAGUAGAGAUGGGGUUUCACCAUGUUAGCCAGGAUGAUCUCGAUCUCCUGACCUUGUGAUCCACCCAUCUGGGCCUCCCAAAGUGCUGGGAUUACAGGCAUGAGCCACUGCACCCGGCCGGGGAUGAACAUUUUUAUAUGCUAAUCUUUGUCAGCAUCUGCUCAUUUCUAUAAAAGGAAUCAUUAGAAUUGGAAUUCCUAGGUCAUUUUGACCAAAAAGGAACAUUUUUAAAUCUCUUAAUAUUGCCAUAUGACAUCUUAGAAAGUUUACAUCAUUUUACACAAAUAAUUGUUUCCUUAUCGAUGUUCCAAACCUAGAGAACUUUUGGUCAUUCUGUGAUCUGUAAUUGGAGAAAUUUCCAUUGCUCUAGCAGCAUUUUAUACAUACUUAUCAAGAUGUAUUAUGAUUUAUACACAUUUAUCAAGAUGUAUUAUGUUUUACUUGCAUUUCUCCAAGUAAGCUCUGAAGUGGAAAACAGAACUUGUUUUACUCUUUGUAGCACAGUACUGAGAACAGUAACACCUAACAGGCCCUUUCUAGGUAAAUCUGCAGAAACAGUAAUUGUCUCAAUCUCAGUUUCCCUGUGGUAGACCAAAAUAAAGCUUUGCAUACCUAACCUAGGGAAGCUGCAUACAGUUGGAGAGCUGGAUUCAACUAAACCUGGCCUGACAGCUCUUCAACAUGUUUUUCUUUUCCAAGUUCCACAUUGCUCACUGUGUCCUUUUAACACUCCUGUUUUUUAUUUUAUCCAUCACACGAAGUUGUAGUUGGUUCUGCCUGCAGUGUUUCUCCAUGAUGUAAUAUAACCUCAUUAUAUACACUCAGGAGCCUGAGAAAUGAGUAUCACAAACCACAGAGUCUUCUUGUUGCUUAGUUACUAUCCUGCAUUUCCUGGAGACUUUACCUUGGCAAAGUAUAUGAUGCUACGUUUUAAUGAAUGUUGAUUGGUCACUGUAUGAUAAAUGCCAGGAAAAACAAUGAAUGAUAAAAAGAAGUGUAAAUCCCACUCUUCUGCCUAUAUCCCAGCUCCAUUUUCACGUCUUUUGGUAUCAGCCCCAGGAUUUGGGGUCUUCUGUUUGAAAAUGAGAUCAGUUCCGUAACAUCUGUAUAGCUUUGCUUGCUAUGGUACUGGGCUGGAAAGAGGCAGGUCAAAGCGAGUGCCCCCCUCACUGGUGUGCCCUGAGGAUGCAGAGGCCCUCUUUGCCUGGUGAUAACACCUUCAAUGCCCGUUAGGGGGCCCAAAAUUGCCAGUUUAUUAUCCCUUUGGGACUGAUGCCUUAAAAUCUCAUUUUGUCUUUGAGAAGUGGUAUUUGGAAUAUUCACACAUCAAAGUGUUAUCGUUCUCUGCUAGCACAGUACCAGCUAGUUUAUCUUAGCCAGCUGGCUUACCUCUCAAGGCACUAAAGGAACGGAAAAACACAGGGCAAUCUCUGUAAGCCUCGUUCCUUCACUUGGUAACCUCUGAAAAGCUAGAGAGAAAGGACCAGUGAGAGAACAGGAUCAGCUCUUGCUGGGGGUCCAGCCAGGAGCCACCAUGGAGGGCCUGGAGCACUUAGAGGAAAACAUGGGGACAUCAGGUAUGCAGGAGAUCAGGCAAAAAACAGUAAAGUCAGCUUAGGAAAGACUCGUACCUCUCACCCCCACUGCCUCAACCUCCUCCAAAGUGUAGAGUUCAUAGCUUUUCCUUGGGAAGCUUCUGUGUAUACAGUGCUCAACAGAAGAGAGGAACAGGAUUUAGGUUACUAUCUUCCAUACCCUAAAAGUGAACAUUGUAAUAUUGCAAAUACAGUAGCAGAAGGAAAGCACUUCUCAGGAAGUAAAAAUACAUCUACUCCUGCUAACAGUUUUCUCCAUUCACAAAAUAUUACUGAUUUUUUUAAAAUUUGGAAAGAAUAUUAAUAUUCAUAGAUGUUAGAUUAGUUGGGCAAAAUAUGCUAAAAAUUGCCAUUUAAUUUAUAAUAGUGAAAAACAAUGCAACCUAAAUGCCCAUGAAUGAUAACUAAUUACAUACAGUGGACUACAAUGGAAUUCUAUGAAGUCAUAAAAAUAAGGAUGUACAUCUGUAUUUAUUGUUAUAGAAAGAAAGCCACGAAAUAUUGUUGAGAGAGAAAGCAGAUUGCAAAACUGAAUAUAUAUGCAAAGAGAUGUUUUUAGGGAUAUUCACUGUUAAACAGUGAUUAACUUAGUUGACUUUUUUUUCCUCUGUUCCUUCUUUUUUCUUUUUUACUUUAAAUAUUUAUCUUUUUUAAAAGAAAUAAUACAUUUCCUCCCUCCAAAAAAGAAUAGCCUAGCGAAAUAUUUUUACUUCAAAUGCUUUUCCCCUUAUUAAUCUUUGUAUAAACCAUUGUGGUUUGCUAAAACAAGGAAGGUUGUAGAGUAGAAUCCAUGCCCACGUUAGAACAAAAUCCAGGCAGGAAGACACUUCAUACGUGGUUAUAAGACCAGGAGGACGAGGAGACAAAGGGAAGCAAUGGUGUUUGUUUGUUUGUUUGUUUGUUUUAAGAGACAGUGUCACUCUGUCACCCAGGUUGGAGUACAGUGGCACCAUCAUAGCUCAGUGCAGCCUCCAACCCCUGGGUUCCAGCGAUCCUCCCACCUAAGCCUCUCUAGUAUCUGGGACUACCGGUAUGCACCACCACAUCCAGCCAAUUUUUAAUUUUUCUUUUUUUGAGACAGGGUCUUGCUAUGUUGCCCAGGCUGGUCUCAAACUCCUAGGCUCAAGCAAACCUCCCAAAGCACUGGGAUUACACGUGUGAGCCACCACACCCGGCCUAGAAGCAAUGGUUCUGAUCCAGGAAAAGUGCAGCCUGGAAACUCAGCAAUCUGUACAGAAUCCUAGCUCUUAGACUAAAAGGCAUCAACUGGUACAAUUUCUUGCCUUUGGGCACUGAACGUGUUAGCUUCUAUUUUAUUUAACUUACUGUAAAAUUAUAUUAGCUAUGCUGCCACUUAAGCCAAGAUGCUUUCUGUCUAGUCACUUCGGUUCCAUCCUUUUGAGCGCCCUGCCGUUUCAUUGCCUCUCCUUUCUCAUUCCUCUCCCCAAGGCUGUACUUUGAGUAACUGUAUGUGCAUUUUCCUGUGCCUUUUCAUUAUUAAAACACUGUAAAAGGUAAUGUCUCCAAAAUGCAAACCAUAGUCUUCUCCAUUGAAAAAUAUUUUCCAGGCCAGGCACUCCACUGUGCCACUGCACUCCACCUGGAUGACAGAGUGAGACUCUGUCUCAAAAAAAAAACAAAAAACUCAUUAAACUGUAAAAUGGGCGCAUUUUAUUUUAUGUAAACUGUAUCUCAGUAAAGUUUAUUUAUUUAUUUUUGAGACAAAGUCUUGCCCUGUUGCCUAGGUUAAAGUGCAGUGGCAUAAUCAUGGCUCCCUGCAGCCUUGAACUCCUGGGCUCAAGCGAUCCUCCUACCUCAGCCUCCUCCCAAGUAUUUGGGACCACGGGCAUGUGCCACCAUGCCCAGCUAAUUUUUUUUUAAGAGAUGGCGUCUUGCUAUGUUGCCCAGGCUGGUCUCGAACUUCUGACCACAAGAGAUCCUCCUGUCUUGGCUUCCCAAAGUUUUGGGAUUACAGGCAUGAACCACCAGGCCUGACCAAAGUUGAUUUUAAAAAAUGAAAGGGGGGCCAAGCGCAGUGACUCAACCCUUAUAAUCCCAGCACUUUGGGAGGCCGAGGCGGGUGGAUCACCUGAGAUAGGGAGUUCAAGACCAGCCUGAUCAACAUGGAGAAACUCUGUCUCUACUAAAAAAUACAAAAUUAGCUGGGAGUGGUGGCGCAUGCCUGUAAUCCCAGCUACUCGGGAGGCCUCAGCUUGAACCCUGUAGGCAGAGGCUGCAGUGAGCUGAGAUCACGCCAUUGCACUCCAGCCUGAGCAACAAGAGCGAAACUCUGUCUCAAAAAAAAAAAAAAAAAGGGUCUGUGCUUGGUGGCUCACACCUGCAAUCCCAGCACUUUGGGAGGCCAAGGUGGGUGAAUCACCUGAGGUCAGGAGUUCGAGACCAGCCUGGCCAACGUGGUGAAACCCCUCUCUACUAAAAAUAAAAAAAUUAGCCAGGUGUGAUGGCGCACGCCUGUAGUCCCAGCUACUCAGGAGGCUGAGGCACAAGAAUUGCUUGAACCUAGGAGGCAGAGGUUGCAGUGAGCCGAGAUCAUGCCACUGCAUUCCAGCCUGGGUGACAGAGUGAGACUCCAUCUCAAAAAACAACAAAAAUGAAAGGGAAAUAAGAGUCAUUACCAAUAUAAUUAGGUUUAAAUUUUUAGUUAAAAUCAAAUUUUAACUGGGAUUGCCAAAAAUGUCCUUAACUUCAUAUCUCCAAAUAAAAUGUCUGCAGUUAAUUUAUGUUGUUUAUACAGCUAGCUAAUUCUCUAUAUUUUUAUAGUAUGUUGACACUUAAAAUUUCAAUCUCUUCUAGUGGUUCCAUGAGUGGGACUGAGGGGAUGAUGGGUGUUCUCAUUAUAGCCUUCAGAAGGCUGCCUAUAUAUAAGUGUGCACAAAUAACUAUUAUUCAGAGAAUUAGAAUCAUCACAAAAUAUCCUUUAUGAAGGAUAAAUAUAGGCUAAUUUAUCCUUUAUGACUGUUAAAUAUAGGCUAAUGUUUCUUUUAUUCUUCAGACCCAUUUCAACUUUAUAGAAAAAAAAGUAUGCACAAAAGCAGCACUCUAUAAUUAAAAAAAAUUCCUUAUUGGUCUUUUGGAUUUUGGUUCUGCAUAAGUAUGAGUUUCUCAUCAGGCCUCUCUAGACUACUAAAGCCUAAAGUGAUGCUUCCCCCAUCUCAGCUCUUAGAGGAAUUACUGGGUGUCUUGUUUAUUUGGCAAUUCCGUGCUUACAAACUCUUUUCAAUGAGAUCUUCAGCUCCUUGAGACCACAGUAGAUACCUACGUAUUUGUCGGUGUAAUUUUGUUGUGUUGAUUUACUGAAUUCAAAGGGUUUGUACAAAUACUUUGUUUACAGGGUUUCAUUACAAAUCCAAAUAAGCUCAUAUGCUUAGUAAUUCCAAAAAUGUUAUAGGUAUUCAGAUUAGCAUUGCUCAUUCAUGCCAUUUAAUUUACAGAGCUCAGCUGCAGUAAUUUUCUCCAGUGGAUGAUGUAAGGAAGGCAUUGGCAGAGGAGUAAGAGACUUGGCUUCAGAGUGGGCAGUAAUAGGGCUAAAUCUGGUUUUACAAAGCAGGUACUGUAAAGCUCUCAUUGCCUUUCUGAGGACAAGGCUUUGAGCUAUGAGUGCCAGGGUCGUCUGUCUAAGUGGAGGCUUCUUAAAGGAAUUGAGCCUCGUUUCCUGGGUUUGAGGUGUAUUCUUUUUCACAUUCCCUUUGUACACCAAAUAUAUUUAGUAUUUAUUAUCUUUGAAGUUUAGACCUUUGGAAUUUUUUUUUUUUUUUGAGGCAAAGUCUCACUGUAGCCCAGGCUGGAGUGCAGUGGUGUGAUCUCAGCUCAUUGCAACCUCUGCCUCCUAGGUUCAAGCGAUUCUCCUAUAUCAGCCUCCUGAGUAGCGAGGACUACAGGCACGUGCCCACCAUGCCCUGCUAAUUUUUGUAUUUUUAGUAGAGACAGGGUUUCACCAUGUUGGCCAGGCUGGUCUCAAACUCCUGACCUCAGGUGAUCUGCCUUCCCUGGCCUCCGGACAUGCUGGGAUUACAGGUGGGAGCCACCACGCCAGGCCACAGUUUGAUGAGUUUUGAGAAAGUAAUAUACGCAUGUAACCACCAUCACCACAAUCAAGAUCUAGAACAUUUCCAUCACCCCAAAAUUCCCUGGUACUCGUCCCUGGUCCCAGGCAAGCCCUGAUCUGUUUUCUGUCACUGUGGAUCAGAUUUGUCUUUUCUAGAGUCUCAUAAAAAUGUGAUCUUAUAAAAUGUAUAGACUCUUGUGUGUAAGGUUUCUUUUCCUCAGCAUAAUGUUUUUAGACUUGUCUAUGUUGCAUGAAUGAGUGGUUCAUUUCUGUUUAUCACUGAGUAUUUUUCCAGUGUAUGUAUAUACCACAAUUUGUUUAUAUACCACAAAUGUUGAUGGACAUUUAGGCUUUGUCCAGUUUUGUCUAUUAUGAAUAAAGCCAUUAUGAACAUCUAUGUACAAGUUUUUGUGUGGACAUGUUUUCUCUUGGGUAAAUAUCUAGGAGUAAGACUACUGGGUUGUAUGCUAAGUGUAUGUUUAAUUUUAAAAGAAAUGGCAGCCGAGUGCGGUGGCUCAUGCCUGUAAUCUUAGCAAUUUGGGAGGCCGAGGCGGGCAGAUCACCUGAGGUCAGGAGUUCGAGACCAGCCUGGCCAACAUGACGAAACCCUGUGUCUACUAAAAAUACAAAAAAAAUUUGCCACGCAUGGUGGCACACACCUGUAAUCCCGCUACUUGGGAGGCUAAGGCAGGAGAAUCGCUUGAACCUGGGAGGUGGAGGUGAGACUGAGCCAAGCUCACACCACUGUACUCCAGCCUGAGCGACAGAGCGAGACUCCAUCUCAAAAAAAAUAAAAAAUGGCCAAACUGUUUUCCAAAGUCCUGGUACCAUCUUACAUCCUACCGGUAAAGUUAUGAGAGUUGUAGUUGCCCUACAUUCUCACCAAUACUUGCUAUUAUCAGUCUUUUUAAUUUUCACCAUCCUAAUGGAUACGUAGUGGUAUCUCACUGUGGUUUUACUUUGCAUUUCCCUGAUGGCUAAUGAUGUUGACAUAUUUUUGUGUGCAUGUUGGAUACUAAUAUAUCUUUGUAAAGUGCCUAUUCAGUGUCUUUUCCAAUUUAGUUGGGUUGCUAAAAAGUCUUCAUAUAUUCCAGAUACAAUACCUUUGGCAGGUAUGUAGAUAUGUGUUGUGUGACUAUUUUCUCCCAGUCUGUGACUUGUCUUCAUUUUGUUAGCAUUGUCUUUUGAAGAGCAGAAGUCUUUAACUUUGUAAAAGUCUAAUUUUUUGCUAUCUUCUUUUAUAGCUCUUGUCUUUUUUUGUUUUUUUGUGUGUGUGUAUUCAAUUAUCUAAGAACUCUUUGACUCCCUUCAGAUCAUGUAAAUGUUCUCCUGUUUUAUUUUAGAAAUUUUAAUUUUACCUUUUUUUUUUUUUUUGAGACAGAGUCUUGCUCUGUCACCCAGGCUGGAGUGUAGUGACGUGAUCUCAGCUCACCGCAGCCUCUGCCUCCCAGGUUCCAGCAAUUCUGCCUCAGCUUCCCAAGUAGCUGGGACUACAGGAGGCAAGCACUGCGAUGCCCAGCUAAUUUUUGUAUUUUUAGUAGAGACAGGGUUUCACCAUGUUGGCCAGUAUGGUCUUGAUCUCCUGACCUGGUGAUCCACCCGCUUCGUUCUCCCAUAGUGCUGGGAUUACAGGCGUGAGCCACCGCACCCAUCCAAGUUUUACCUUUUAAGCUUAGGUACAUGAUCCAAUUUGAGGUGAAUUUUGUGUAUGAGUAAGUUAAUAAUCAAUGUUCAUUUUUUCCCAUAUGGAUAUCCAGUUUUUCCGGUACCAUUUGUUGAAAAGACUGUCUUUCCCCUAUUGACUUACUGUGGCCACUUUGUCAAAAAUUACUUGCCCAUAGACAUGCGGGUUCAUUUAUUUUGUUCCAUUGAUCCAAAUGUUGAUCCUUUAAUAAUAAUGUAGCUUUAUAGUCAGUCUUGAAAUUUGAUAGUUUGAAUAUUCCAACUUUGUUGUUCUUUUUCAAAAAUUUUUUGCAUUCUAAGUCCUUUGUGUUUUUAUAUAAAUUUUAGAAUAAGUUAUGUAAGUGCCUGCUGGGAUUUUCUUUUUUUUGAGACAGGGUCUUACUAUGUCACCCAGACUGAAGUGCAGUGGCAUGAUCACAGGUCAUUGCAUCCUCAACCACCCAGACUCAAGCAAUCCUCCUGUCUCAGCCUUCCAAGUAACUGAGACCACAGGUGCGUACCACCACACCUGGCUAUUUUGCUGCUGUUUGUUUUUGUAGAGAUGGGGUUUCACCACAUUGCCCAGGCUGAUCUUGAAUUCCUGGGCUCAAGCAGUCUUCCCACCUCAGCCUCCAAAAGUGCUGGGAUUAUAGGUGUGAGCCAUCGUGCCCCACCCCUGCUGGGAUUUCAGUUAAGAUUACAUUGUAUCUGUGGAACAAUUUGGGAAAAAUGGUCAUCAUCAUAUUUAGUCUUGUAGUUCAUAGACAUAGUAUAUCUCCAUUUAUUUGCGUCUUUAAUUUUCAGCAUAACAUUCAGCAAUGUUUUUAUAGUUUUAAUUGUAUAGGUGCCUUGCAUGUAUUAUGUUAAAUUUAUCCCUAACUAGUCCAUGUUUUUGAUACUAUAGUAAAUGGUGUUUGUGUGUGUGUGUGUGUAUUUUUUUUUUUUUUUUUUAGACAAAGCCUCACUCUGUCACCCAGACUGGAGUGCAGUGGUAUAAUCAUAGCUCACUACAGCCUUGACCUCCUGAGCUCAAGCAGUCCUCCUGUCUCAGCCUCCCAAGUAGCUGGGAUGACAGUGUGCACCACCACACCCAGCUAAUUUUUUUUUUUUUGGUCUUGCUGUGUUGCCCGGGCUGGACUCAAGUGAUCUUCCCUUCUCAGCCUCUCAAAGUGCUGGAAUUACAGGCAUGAGCCACCGUGCCCAGCCAGAGGUAUUGUUUUUGAUACUAUAGUAAAUAUUUUAUUUAAAUUUCCAGGUGGUUAUUGCUAGUAUGCAGAAAAUAUUUUUUUGCAUUAACCUAUGCUAAAGUCACUUACUAUUUUGAUUUGCCUUUCAUAAAGAUUCCUUAAAUGUUUCUACAUACACAAUCAUGUCAUCUGCAGAUAGACAGUUUUAUUUCUUCUUUUCAAUCUGUAUGGUUUUCUUUGCCUUUUUCUUGCCUAUUGUACUGGCUAGGACUUCCAGUGUAAUGUUUAAUAGAAAUCCUGAGACUGGACAUCCUUGCCUUAUUUUCAAUCUGAGGAGAAAGCAUUCAGUUGUUCAUCAUUAACAGACAAUGUUAGCUGAAGGUUUUUCAGAGCUUGUGUACUCUACCAGGAUGAAGAAGGUCCCUUCUAUUUCCAGUUUGCUAAGAGUUUUAAAAUUGUGAAUGGAUGGCGAAUUUUGUUAUUUUUCUGCAUCUAAUAAGAGAAUCAUAUAUGGUUUUUCUCCUUUGUUCUGUUAAUAUGGUAGGUAUGUUGAUUUUUUUAGUGUUAAAACAAGCUUGCAUUCUUGGGAUAAACCCCACUUAGUCAUGAUGCAUUAUCCUUGUUAUAUAUUGCUGAAUUCAGUUUGCCAAAAAUUUAACUAAGGAUGUUUGCAUCUGUAUUCAGUGAGGUAUUCCUUUCAAUGUCAUUGUCUGGGCUCAGACAAUGACUAGAGAAGUCAUCUUUCUUUGUUUUUAGAAUGAGUUUGUGUGUGUUUGUUAUUAUUUUUCCUUAAAUAUUUGAUAGAAUUUACUGCUGAAGCCACCUCAGUCUGAAGUUUCUUUGCAGGAAGUUUUAAUUCAUAAUUAAAUUUCCUUAGCAUAUAUAGGGCUUUUUUCUUUUUUCUUUUUUUGAGACAGAGUGUCACAGUGUCUCCCGGGCUGGAGUGCAAUGGCGCGAUCUCAGCUUACUGCAGCCUUUGCCUCCCGGGUUCAAGCAAUUCUCCUGCCUCAACCUCCCAAGUAGCUGGGAUCACAGGCGCCUACCACCAUGCCCAGCUAAUUUUUUGUAUUUUCAGUAGAGACAGGGUUUCACUAUGUUGGCCAGGCUGGUCCCAAACUCCUGAGAUGAGGAUAAUUUUUUGUAUUUUUAGUAGAGACGGGGUUUCACUAUGUUGGCCUGGCUGGUCUCAAACUCCUGACCUCGUAAUUCACCCACCUCGGCCUCCCAAAGUGCUGGGAUUACAAGUGUGAGCCACCGUGCCUGGCCUUCUUUCUAGUUUCUUGAAUCACUAUGGUUAAUCUGUGGCAUUCAACCAAUUUGUCCAUUUUAUCUAUGCCAUUGAAUUUAUUUACAUAAUUAUAAUCUUUUUUUGUUUUAAUGUCUGCAAGAUCUGUGGUGAUAUCUAUUUCAUUCCUAAUGUUGGUAAUUUUUUCUUUUCCUGCUUGCUCUUAUUGUUUGUUUGUUUGUUUGUUUGUUUUGAGAUAGGUUCUCAUUCUGUCACCCAGACCAGGCUGGAAUACAGUAGCGAUCAUAACUCACUCAGCCCCAAACUCCUGGUCUCAGGCAGUCCUCCUGCCUCAGCGUUUCAAAUUGUUGGGAUUACAGGCAUGAGCCACUGUGUUCAGCCUCUUUUAAUUCCUAUAUGUAUUAGCCAGUUGAGGUGGCUUGCUUGAACCCAAGAGUUCUGGGCAACACAGCAAGACCUCAUCUCUACAAAUAAUUUUAAAAAUUAGCUGGGGCAUGGUGGCGCACACCUCUGGUCUCAGCUACUUGAGAGGCUGAGACAGGUGGAUCACUUGAGCCCAGGCAGUCAAGGCUUCGGUGAGCCGUGAUCCCGCCACUGCACUCCGGCCCAGGUGACACUAUGAGACUCUGUCUCAAAAAAAUAAACUAUAGAAAAUCUGAGUAGCCCUAUAUGUAGUAAGGAAAUUUAAUUAUCAGUUAAACUGUCACCUGGGUAACAGAGUGAGACCACGUCUCAAGGGAAGGGGAGGGGAGGGGAGGGUCUUGUAUUUAUUAUUUCCUUCCUUUUACUUGGUUUUACUUUGGUUUAAUUUGGUUUACAUUGGUUUAAUUUGUUCUUCUUUUACUAUUUUUUUUUUACUGAAUCAUCAUUAUUGUUCUACCACUCGAAUCACCGCAUUGCUGUUGCUAAAUGACCAAUAGACCAACAGAUCCUUCCAUAGAAACAAAAAAAAGCCCUUGCUUUUCAAUAUUACCAAAGGGAAACAUAUAGUCAGAACUGCAAGAAAACUGCCUUGUGAUCCGGCUUCUGUCACAUUUUAGUUUACAAUACAGGAGCAUAAAGUAGCUACUCAACUACCUCGAAAAUAAGAGAAUCAUUUACCUUUCUGUAUAUAACCUAAUUAAAACCAUGUCAGAUCCAGCAAAACUGAUUUUCAUCUCUCCUCAGUAGAUAUAGGAGUAUAUAUUGAUAUUUCUACUUCAUGACUAGAUAGGGGACUAAAUUAAAAUUCGCUACUCAGUUCUCAGUUGUAAGGCCCACAGUUGCACAUGGGUAGGUGGGUAGUUGCACAUGCACAGAGUUGGUGGUCACAACUCUGCUUUCUUGCCCUUCUGCUUAACAUGGAGCUAUUUAAUCUUAUUUAUUUAUUUAUUUAUUUAUUUAUUUAGAAAUAGGGUCUGCUCUGUCACCUUGGCUGGAGUGCAGUGGCACAAUCAUGGCUCACUGCAGCCUAGAACUCCUGGGCUCAAGUGAUGUUCCCACCUUAGCCUCCUGAGUAGCUGGGACUAUAGACACACACAACCACGCUCUGCCAAUUUUGAAAUUUUUUGUAGAAAUGAGGUCUCCCUAUGUUGCCCAGGCUGGUCUUGAACUCCUGGCCUCAAGCAGUCCUCCCACCUCAGCCUCCCAAGUGCUAGGAUUACAGGCAAGAGCCACAGCGCCAGGCUGGAACUAUGUAAGAUAGCACUUAGCCCUGCAUGUAUGUGUUACUAACAAUGGUUGUGUAGAUCACUCCUCCAAAGGGAAAGUCUCUCUAGAUGGGUUUUUGCCCCAAUUAAGCAAUAGCUUCCUCCAAACGGUGCUCACCUAUCCAUUGACUGCGAUAUUUGAAGACAAAGUGAGUCUUCACUCACCAUCACCAUUCCCCACGUCCCCUUUCCCUGGGAGCGCACACACUUAGGAGGGCAGUGCUGCUUCCUCCACAGCAGUGACAGCUGGCCAGGAUUUAUGAAAUGUCUCUCAAGGAAAUGUGCUCUCUUCCAUGCUCAGAGAUGCCACGUGGUCACAGUGCAGUCUUCAUGCAGUUGUAGCUUAGACUUCCAGAUUCAAAGGUCAGAAACCAGCUUGGAAUUUUCCUGGUCCUAACUCAAACCUGGCAUAAGUCAAAGUUUAAAUCCAACAGGUUCCAAAGGAAAUCAGAUUAAACACAUGUGCUGCUUGGUCAUGCAAGGACCCUGGAGUAGAAAAGUAGGUAUUGCCGUCUUGGUCAUGAAAGCCACAACAUCACCAGCAAGAGGACAGGCACUUAGAUCUGUUCACUGCUGUGCCCUCAACUCCUGGAAUAGGACCUGGUGCAGAGUGUGAUCAGAAAGUAUUUAUUGAGUUUCAGGUACAGUGGCUCAUGCCUGUAAUCCUAACACAUUGGAAGACCAAGGUGGGAGGAUCACUUGAGCCCAGGAGUUUGAGACCAGCCUGGGUGACACAGGGAGACCCUAUCUCUAUAAAAAAUAAACUUAAAAAAAAAUUGGGCCCUGCACAAUGGUUCACGCCUGUAAUCCCAGCUCUUUGGGAAACUGAAGCGGAUGGAUCAUCUGAGGUCAGGAAUUCGAGACCAGCCUGGCCAACAUGGUGAAACCCCCAUCUCUACUAAAAAUAGAAAAAUUAGCCGGGCGUGGUGGCGGGCACCUGUAAUCCCAGCUACUCGGGAGGCUGAGGCAGGAGAAUCACUUGAACCCAAGAGGUGGAGGUUGCAGUGAGGCGAGAUUGCACCACUGCACUCCAGCCUGGGCAACAGAGCGAGACUUGGUCUACACGCUUUGUAAUCUAAAACAUUCUCUACCAAUACCUCAAUCAGUGAAUUCUUGCUUUAUUGAUACAUUCUAGUAUUCAGUUGUGAUUUUAAUAUGCUAUUUUGGUACUUUCUGCUUUCAGUUUUCAUUGCUGUGGCUAUUGCCUUAAACAGAAACAAAAAACUAAAACAAUUUUACAACCAUCCAAAAGAGGCUUGGAAACUUUUUUUUGGCUGGAUAUCCAUAGCACAAUUUAAUUCAGUAAACAUAAACAGUUAAAAUUAUUCCAGUACACAACCAUGUUUUAAAAAAGAGAUUACACCCAAUUUUGGCAACAACACCCAGGAAAUAAGCAUUCUUUUACAUUUGGUUCAAACUUUCUGAAUGGCAGUUGUGCAACACUUGUUGUGAAAAACUUUAGAAUAUUAUAAACAUGUUAAUCCUGUAUUUCCAUUUCUGUGAAUUCAUCCAAAAGAAAUAACCAUGGAUAUGGGUAGAGACAGAGCCAUAUGGAAUGCACACUGCAGUGGUGAACACAUGGCCCAGCUCUGCCAUCAAGGAGAAGGAACAUGAAUGGAGCUGGAGGCCAUCAUCCUUAGUGAACUAACACAGGAGCAGAAAACCAAAUACCACAUGUUCUCAUGUGUAAGUGGGAGCUAAAUGAUGAGAACACAUGGACACAAAGAGGGGAACAACAGACACUGAAGCCUCCUUGAGGGAGGAGGGUAAGAGGAAGGAGAAGAUCAGAAAAGAUAACUACCAGGUACUAUGGUAGCUUAGUACCUGGGUGAUGAAAUAAUCUGUACACCCAACCCUCAUGACAGAAGUUUACCUGUGUAACAAACCUGCACAUGUAUCCCUGAAACUAAAAGUUUUUUAAAAAGUUAUUUAAUAUAUAUAUAUUUUUUUGAGACGGAGUUUUGCUCUUGUUGCCCAGGCUGGAGUGCGGUGGCGCAAUUUCGGCUCACCACAACCUCCGCCUCCCAGGUUCAAGCUAUUCCCCUGCCUCAGCCUCCCUAGUAGCUGGGAUUACAGGCUUGUGCCACCACGCCGGCUAAUUUUGUAUUUUUUGUAGAGACGGGGUUUCUCCAUGUUGGUCAGGCUGGUCUCGAACUCCCGACCUCAGGUGAUCCACCCCCCUCGGCCUCCCAAAGUGCUAGGAUUACAGGCAUGAGCCACUGCGCCCGGCAAAAAGUUAUUUAAUAUUAAUGGGACAAUACUCAUUGCAAGAAUCAGACUUCAAUUGCUAGCAUAAGUAAAUGACAGGCAGGAGAUAUUGAAAAUGCAAUCUUAUAGACAUUCAAGGAGAGGACGCAGGACAUUUCUGUGUCAUAAAUGUACUAUGGAAAAUAAAAAUGAGAAAAAUGGAAAUAAAAUACAAGAAAAGGUUAUGAUAAAUUUCAUAUUAUUUUACCACAAUAAAAAAAUUUUAAUAAAUUAUAAAUGGUGUGAUAUGUUUUGCCUGUGUUCCACCCAAAUCUCAUCUUGAAUUAGAGCUCCCACAAUUCCCACGUGUUGUGGCUGGGACCCUGUGGGAGAUAAUUGAAUCAUGGGGGCAGUUUACCCCAUACUGUUCUCUUGGUGGUGAAUAAGUCUCAUGAGAGUUGAUGGUUUGAUAAGGGGUUUCCCCUUUUGCUUGGCUCUCAUUCUCUCUUGACUGCCACCAUGUAAGAUGUGCCUUUUGCCUUCCACCAUGAUUGUGAAGCCUCCCAGCCACAUGGAACUGUGAGUCCAUUAAACCUUUUUCUUUACAAAUUACCCAGUCUCGAGUAUGUCUUUAUCAGCAGUGAGAGAACAGACUAAUAUGAGUGUGAUCUAAUUAACAUAAAGGGAGAAUGAGGACUAUUGACACCAAAAUAUGAGAUUGGGAUUACAGCUCGUUUUUAUUUUCUUUUUCUGUUUAUCUUUCCAGUUUUCUAAGAUGAAUGUUUCAUAAUCAGAAAACAAAAUUAAAUGUUUCCAGCCCCACAAAAAAUAACCAGUAUUUUACUUUUUUUUUUUUUUUUUUUUUUUCCGAGAUGAACUCUCACUUUAUCUCCCAGGCUAGAGUGCAGUGGUGCAAUCACGACUCACUGCAACCUCCGCCUCCCAGGCUGAAGUGAUCCUCCCACCUCAGCCUCCUGAGUAGCUGAGACUGCAGGAAUGCACCACCACGCCAGGCUAGUUUUUUUAUCUUUUUUGGUAGAGACGGUGUUUCAACAUGUUGCCCAGGCUGGUCUCAAACUCCUGGACUCAAGCAGUUCACCUGCCUCAGCCUCCCAAAGUGUUGGGAUUACAGGCAUGAGCCACCGUGCCCAGCCAUUUACUUUUAAUCUUAGUAAUUUAUACAGAACCAGUUGUCUGGUGUUGUGGUCUCUCCCUACUCUGAGUUGACUGGAUGGUUGUGUAGAUUGGGCUUGGGCACACUGGGUGGAGCCCAGAGCAAGGUGAACCACCUGGAGGCUCCCGUGCCUCAAUCCUGCAGCAGGCACAGGCACGGGACUUUGUUGACAGUGAAAAAGUGCUUGUUGCAGAGAGCCUGAAACAGACGCAAACUCGGGGAAGUGACAGUUACAUGCGCAAAGAGACCUGAAGGAAUCUGUAAGUAUCACCAGCUAACAAGCGACACAGCUCUACCUGUACAUCCUACUUCAGUGCCUUAAUAUAAAGAAAACAAAUACUUCACAAUCAAAUAAUUUGCUGCAAUGUAAAGAAAUUUGUGAAAAUGGUAUAUACUAUGUGGAAUCUAUAUGUCCCCAGAGAUGAGACUGGAAAGACAGUUAUCAUGAAACCAGUCUUUGGCCUUUGGCGGUUUCCAGUUUUUCCACACUUUCAAACACGAGUCCACGUGAGCCAGCCGCAGCCAUUUCAGGAUCAUGUGAAAGGGAUCAUCAUCCCUGGACUCUAGGAAAUUGAGGUGUGGGAAAGGUGAAGGAACUGGCCCUAGGGUGUUGUAUGCAAGUUGGAAGCAAAGAGACAGCUAAGACCACAUCUCCUGAUUCCCAGUCCAAGGCACUUUUAAUGACCUACAAUGCCUGGAAGGAAAGGUGGUAAGAAAUGAUAGGAAAAAGCCUAAGAGCUAAGCUAAAGGAAAGAGGCUGGGAGCACUGACUCAUGCCUGUAAUCCUGGCAUUUUAGGAGGCAAGGCAGGAGGACGGCUUGAGCCUAGGAGUUUGAGGCUACAGAGAGCCAUGAUCACACCACUGAACUCCAGCAUGGGCAACAGAACAAGACCCCAACUCUAAAAAAAAAAAAAAAAAAAAAGUAAAAAGGAAUACUCUAUUGGGAUAAUGAUAAGGGUAAUUUUCCCAUUUCCUCAGCAUAGUGCCCUCUGAAGAUGUGUUCUACAAGAUGGGGGGCAGAGGCACAUACCCCAGGAUGAGAUGGUUUACUAGGAGGUAAAAUAAAACCUUCUAUGGUUCAUUUUGUCGCAAAACGGAGAAUGACUUGGUACCCUCACAUCGUACUACAUUAGACAGCCCAUGGAUCAGGAAUGAUCCAUGUGGUGCCCUGAAUUGGGUGUGAGGGCACCAUAGUGAGAAGGAUGUAGGGCCCACAUGCAUUAGUUUGCACAGACAGGGGUUUACAAGUACCUAAUUAACAUUUUUUUUUUUUUUUUUUUUUUUUUUGUGACACAGAGUCUCACUCUGUUGCCCAGGCUGGAGUGCAGUGGCGCAAUCUCGGCUCACUGCAAGCUCCGCCUCCUGGGCUCAAGCGAUUCUCCUGCCUCAGCAUCCCAAGUAGCUGGGACUACAGGUGCCCACCACCACACCCGGCUAAUUUUGUUUUUGUGUUUUUAGUAAAGACAGGGUUUCACCGUGUUAGCUAGGACGGUCUUGAUCUCCUGACCUCGUGAUCCGCCUGCCUCAGCGUCCCAAAGGGCUGGGAUUACAGGUGUGAGCCACCGCGACCAGCCAAUAUGAAUUAUCUUACAUAGCUUUACUAAACCCUUAGUCAAGUGCAAGGUAAACAUAAUGGCAAUAUAAUUGAUUCUAACAAGAAGGAACCAAACAAAAAAAUUUUUUUUAGACAGAGUCUUGCUCUGUUGCCCAGGCUGGAGUGCAGUGGCAUAAUCACAGCUCACUGUGGCCACAAACUCCUGAGUUCAAGCCAUCGUCCCACCUCAACCUCUCAAGUAGCUGGGACCACAGGCACACACUACUAUGCUUGGCUAAUUUUUAAAUUUUUUGUAGAGAGGGGGUGUCCCUACCUUGCCCAGGCUGGUUUUGAACUCCUGUGCUUAAGCAAUCCUCCCACCUUAACCUGCCAAAUUGUUGGGAUUACAGGCGUGAGCCACCACACUCAGCCAAAAACUUUUUUUUGGGGGGGUGGGGGGGACGGGGUCUCCCUCUGUUGCCCAGACUGGAGUGCAGUGGCACAAUCUUGGAUCACUGCAGCCUCAAACUCCCUGAGCUCAAGUGAUCCUCCCACCUCAGCCUCCCAAGUAGCUGGGACUAAAGGCACAUGCCACUAUGCCUGGCUAAUUUUUGUAUUUUUUGGAGAGACAGGGUCUGGCCAUUUUGCCCACACUGGUAUUGAACUCCUGGGCUCAGGUGAUCCACCCGCCUCAGCCUCCCAAAGUGCUAGGAUUACAGGCAUGGGCCACUGUGCUCAACCAAAAAUAAUUUUUUAAUUAUCAAGAACAUUUGAAAUAUAAAAUUAUAUCCUGUAUUUUUUUGUUGUUGUUGUUAAUUGAGACAGGGUCUUGCUCUGUGGCCCAGGCUGGAGUGCAGUGGUACAAUCAUAGCUCACUGCAGCCUCGAACUCCUGGGCUCCAAGGAUCCUCCUGCCUCAGCCUCUCAAGUAGCUGGGACUACAGGAAUGCACCACCGUGUCUAGCUAACUUUAAUUAUUUUGCUUUUGUAGAGACAGGAUCUGGCUAUGUUGACCAGCCUGGUUUCCAACUCCUGGCCUCAAGCAAUCCUCCUGCCUCAGCCUCCCAAAGUGUUGGGAUGAUAGGCAUGAGUCACUGUGCCUUCCAAUCCUCUUGUUUUGUUUUGUUUUGUUUUGUUUUGUUUUGUUUUGUUUUGUUUUGUUGAGACAGGGUUUCACCAUGUUGCCCAGGCUGGUCUUGAACUCCUGGACUCACGCAAUCCUCCCACCUUGGCCUCCCAAAGUACUAGGAUUACAGGCGUGAGCCACGAUUCCCGGCCAAUCCUCUGUUUUUAAUAGUGAACUCGCCCUGGUGAAUAAUAUAACUUAAGAUGUUAGCUAAUCAUAGUAGUGUGUAUGUAUAAUUUAAAACUAUA
rnacentral:lncRNA from 10 species